GUUGAGGAUACAUGUACUGAAUGGUUUUGGAGGCUUUGGAGUUCAAGAUUCCUUCCUGUGAAGAGUGAAGUCAAAAAGAUCCAGCUCAAAACGACUUUGUGAAGUGUGCAGCUAUUUCUUCAAUUCACACGGGACUUUUUUUUUUUGCGACAACCGUGCAGAGUCAAUCGCAUUUGUGAAGCAGAACUGCGUAGCGGGAGGAAAUAGCUUUUUCCUGGUCGUUAAACUUCAGCUGAAGUGAGGCUGCGUCCGACUGUCACUUGAACAGCGUUUAUUCCAGCUAUUUCAGCGCCAUUUCAAAUUGAUCAAAGGAAUAUCUCCCUCUACUCCAGGAAUCUCUCCCUCUACACCAGGAAUCUCUCCCUCUACUCCAGGAAUAUCUCCCUCUACACCAGGAAUCUCUCCCUCUACACCAGGAAUAUCUCCCUCUACACCAGGAAUCUCUCCCUCUACACCAGGAAUCUCUCCCUCUACACCAGGCAUCUCUCCCUCUACACCAGGAAUCUCUCCCUCUACACCAGGCAUCUCUCCCUCUACACCAGGCAUCUCUCCCUCUACACCAGGCAUCUCUCCCUCUACACCAGGCAUCUCUCCCUCUACACCAGGCAUCUCUCCCUCUACACCAGGCAUCUCUCCCUCUACACCAGGCAUCUCUCCCUCUACUCCAGGAAUCUCUCCCUCUACACCAGGAAUCUCUCCCUCUACACCAGGAAUAUCUCCCUCUACUCCAGGAAUCUCUCCCUCUACACCAGGAAUCUCUCCCUCUACUCCAGGAAUAUCUCCCUCUACUCCAGGAAUCUCUCCCUCUACACCAGGCAUCUCUCCCUCUACUCCAGGAAUCUCUCCCUCUACUCCAGGAAUCUCUCCCUCUACUCCAGGAAUAUCUCCCUCUACUCCAGGAAUCUCUCCCUCUACACCAGGCAUCUCUCCCUCUACUCCAGGAAUCUCUCCCUCUACACCAGGACACAAAGGAGAGGAGGAGAAGACGGAGAGAAAUAAAACCAAACAGGGUUGUUCAUUGUUCAUUCAUCUUCCCCAAGGAUCCACAGUCUGUCCAUCAAUCUGUCCAUCCAUCUAUUGAUCGAUCCAUUAAUCCAUUCAUCCCUCCCUCCAUCGGUCAUGAUAUCCUGGGACUGGCUAAGGGGAGCGUCCAUGCUACUGGCGUUCCACGCCUGCGUCUCCAUGGUGAUGAUUGGGAACGGUAACCGCGGUAACGGUACGGCCCCCGGCUGGGAUGGUAUUCUGGAGAGGUACUUUGUUGAAGAGGGGGACUGGGGGCAGGCCAAGCAGAGAGGGAAGAGGGCCAUCACAGAUGCAGACAUGACCGCCAUACUGGAUCUGCACAACAAGCUCAGAGGACAGGUCCAUCCACCUGCUGCUAACAUGGAACACAUGGAGUGGGAUACAGAGUUAGAGCGUACGGCAGAGGAGUGGGCUGAGACUUGUCUUUGGGAACACGGUCCGGCUGGUCUGCUCCCCCAGAUAGGACAGAACCUGGGAGCUCACUGGGGAUGGCCACGCCCCCCUACUUCCCAUGUGCAGGCCUGGUAUGAUGAGGUGAAGGACUAUUCCUUCCCUUACCCCCAGGAAUGUGACCCCUACUGCCCCUUUAGAUGUUCCGGCCCGGUCUGCACCCACUACACACAGUUGGUGUGGGCCACCAGCAGCAGGAUAGGCUGUGCCAUCAACAUUUGCUACAACAUGAACGUGUGGGGCCAGAACUUGGCUAAAGCUGUUUACCUGGUCUGCAACUACUCACCCAAGGGGAACUGGUGGGGUCAUGCACCCUAUAAACACGGCACCCCCUGCUCUGCCUGCCCCCCCAGCUAUGGAGGACGAUGCAAGGACAACCUCUGCUACAAAGACAAAGUUACAGAGUCGCAGAGAUCUCAGGAGGAAACCGAGGAAAACAAUUAUAUCGAACCAGAGGCCCCCAGGAGCCCCCAGAAGCCACGCCCAAGGGCCCCCAGCCAAAGCCCCCUAUGGCCAAGACCCCCCCCCCCUCCACCCCCACCAGAGGAGCAGGAGAGGAAUGUGGUGGUCAAUACACAGCAGAUGUCUCAGCUUGUGACCUGUGACACUAAGCUACGAGAUCAGUGCAAAGGGACCACAUGCAACAGGUACGAGUGUCCUGCCGGCUGUCUAAAGUCCACAGGGAAGGUGGUUGGGACGGUACACUAUGAGAUGCAAUCCAGUAUCUGCCGUGCUGGCCUCCACUCUGGAGUGGUAGAUACGGAUGGAGGAUGGCUGGACGUCACCAGACAAGGCAGGAAGGACUUCUUCAUCAAGUCCAACAAGAAUGGAAUUCAGUCUCUCGGGAAGUAUCAGAGUGCCAACUCUUUUAUCAUCUCCAAAGUAGCAGUGAAAGCUAUCACCUGUGAGACCACGGUGGCUCAGAUGUGUUCAUAUCAAAAGCUUGUAAAGCACUGCCCAAGGUUAUAUUGCCCCCGGAACUGCAUGGAGGAGAACCCUAACAUAUCACGGGUCAUCGGAACCGGAAUCUAUUCAGAUAAAUCCAGUAUAUGCCGGGUGGCGGUUCACGCAGGGGUGCUUCAGAACAAUGUGGGUGGCUACAUCGACGUGAUGCCGGUAGACAAGCGGAAACAGUACAUUGCCUCGUACCAAAACGGCAUUACUUCCGAGAGUCUUCAGAACCCACCAGGAGGAAAGGCAUUCCGGGUGUUUGCUGUGAUCUGAAUGUUCCGUGUUCUGACUGAGUAUUCCAUGUUCUGGCUGAGUGUUCCAUGUUCUGACUGAGUCUUCCGACUGAGUGUUCCGUGUUCUGACUGAGUGUUCCGUGUUCUGACUGAGUGUUCCGUGUUUUGACUGAGUGUUCCGUGUUUUGACUGAGUGUUCUGUGUUCUGACUGAUUGUUACAUGUUUGACUGAGUGUUCCGUGUUCUGAAUGAGUGUUCCAAAUUCUGGCUGAUUGUUCCGACUGAGUGUUCCGUGUUCUGACUGAGUGUUACGUGUUUUGACUGAGUGUUCUGUGUUUUGACUGAGUGUUCUGUGUUUUGACUGAGUGUUUUGACUGAGUGUUCCAUGUUUUGACUGAGUGUUCUGUGUUUUGACUGAGUGUUCUGUGUUUUGACUGAGUGUUUUGUGUUCUGACUGAGUGUUCUGUGUUCUGACUGAGUGUUCUGUGUUCUGACUGAUUGUUCCAUGUUUGACUGAGUGUUCCGUGUUCUGAAUUAGUGUUCCAAAUUCUGGCUGAUUGUUCCGACUGAGUGUUCCGUGUUCUGACUGAGUGUUACGUGUUCCGAAGGUCAGGGGCUCCAUCUCUCCUCUCUCACCAAACACAGAAUCAAUCAUCUCUGCUGUCCGUUUGGCUGAAUGGGCCGUGAACACUCAUCUCUGCUGUCAAAAGCUGAAAAUGACUGAAACGUUUAUCUGGCCUUUUCACUAGACGCGACGUCAGAGGACGUCUCCACGGAAACUAUAGACAUUUAUCACAGGUACGGGCAUCGCUGAAUGAAGAGGGAUGGGAGAGAGCAAGGCUGGUGCUCAGUGCAGUCCCGUUUCAAUGUUUUAAUGUCAUCUGGUUCAUUUUAUAAACUGUAUAUAUUUGACGUAAUUGCUAGAAUUACUUUAAACUGUAAAGUGCAGUACCAGUCAAAAGUCUGGACACACCCACUCAUUCCAGGGUAUUUCUUUAUUUGAACUGUUUUCUACAUUGUAGAAUAAUAGUGAAGACAUCAAAACUAUGAAAUAACACAUAUGGAAUCAUGUAGUAAAAGUGUUAAGCAAAUUCAAAAUAUAAUAUAUAUUUUAGAUUCUUCAAAUAGCCAACCUUUGCCUUGAUGACAGCUUUGCACACUCUUGACAUUCUCUCAACUAGUUUCACCUGAAAUGCUUUUCCAACAGUCUUGAAGUUCACACAUAUGCUGAGCAUUUGUUGGCUGCUUUUCCUUCACUCUGUGGUCAAACUCAUCCCAAACCAUCUCAAUUUGGUUGAGGUCGGGGGAUUGUGGAGGCCAGGUCAUCUGAUGCAGCACUCCAUCACCCUCCUUGGCCAAAUAGCCCUUACACAACCUGGAGGUGUGUUGGGUCAUUGUCCUGUUGAAAAACAAAUGAUAGUCCCAUUUAGCGCAAACCAGAUGGGAUGGAGUAUCGCUGCAGAAUGGUGUGGUAGCCAUGCUGGUUACGUGUACCUUGAAAUCGAAAUAAAUCACAGACAGUGUCAUCAGCAAAGCACCAUCACACCUCCUCCUCCAUGCUUCACGGUGGGAACCACACAUGCGGAGAUCAUCCGUUCACCUACUCUGCUUCUCUCAAAGACACGGCGGUUGGAACCAAAAAUCUCAAAUUUGGACUCAUCAGACCAAAGGACAGAUUUCCACUGGUCUAUUGUCCAUUGCUCGUAUUUCUUGGCCAGAGCAAGUCUUUUAUUUUUAAUGGUUUUUAACUUUAAUAGCGGUUUCUUUGCAGAAAUUCAACCAUCAAGGCCUGAUUUACAGUCUCGGAACAGUUGAUGUGUUUGUGACUUGAACUCUGUGAAGCAUUUAUUUGGGAUGUAAUCUGAGGCUGUUAACUCUAAUGAACGUAUCCUCUGCAGCAGAGGUGACUCUGGGUCUUCCUGUCCUGUGGUGAUCCUCAUGAGAGCCAGUUAACUCUAAUGAACUUAUCCUCUGCAGCAGAGGUAACUCUGGGUCUUCCUUUCCUGUGGUGAUCCUCAUGAGAGCCAGUUAACUCUAAUGAACUUAUCCUCUGCAGCAGAGGUAACUCUGGGUCUUCCUUUCCUGUGGUGGUCCUCAUGAGAGCCAGUUAACUCUAAUGAAUUUAUCCUCUGCAGCAGAGGUAACUCUGGGUUUUCCUGUCCUGUGGAGGUUCUCAUGAGAGCUAGUUUUAUCAUGGCGCUUGAUGGUUUUUGCGACUGCACUUAAAUAAACAUGAAAAGUUAUUGACAUGUUCAGUAUUGACUGACCUUCAUGUCUUAAAGUAAUGAUAGACUGUCAUUUCUCUUUGCUUAUUUGAGCAGUUCUUGCCAUGAUGUAUAUUUGUGUUUUUACCAAAUAGGGCGAUCUUCUGUAUACCAGCCCUACCUUGUCACAACACAACUGAUUUUCUCAAACGCAUUAAGAAGGAAAGAAAUUCCACAAAUGAACAUUUAACAAGGCACACCUGUUAAUUAAAAUGCAUUCCAGGUGAUCACCUCCUGAAGCUAGUUGAGAGAAGGCCAAGAGUGUGCAAAGCAGUCAUCAAGGUAAAGGGUGGCUACUUUGAAGAACCUCAAAUAUAAAAUAUAUUUUGAUUUGUUUAACACUUUUUUGUUGCUUACUGUCUUCACUCUUUUUCUACAAUGUAGAACAUAGUAACACAUGAAGAAAAACCCUUGAAUGAGUAAGUGUGUACAAAAGUUGAGUACUGUGUAUGUGUGUAUGUAUAUAUGUCUAUGUGGUGUUGUUGGUUUUGUUGGUUUUGUUAUUAUCGUCUUGCCUUUAGAACUGAACUGAUAUCCAAUAUUACAACAACAGAAUAUAACAGAGGUAACAAUAUACAAUAUACAACUUAGCACUUAAAGGAAUAUUUUAUACCGUAUGUCAGAUUGGACCUACUUCUGUCUGGCCCGUGUUAUUAUCAGUGCUGUGGAAAAACACUUUAUCUUUGGGUGUUUUGUGUAUGUUUACCUUUCUAAACAACAUCAGUAGUUUUUUUUUUUUAAACAUGCUGUUUUUCUACCAGUGGUAUCAAGGAGCAAGUCAAGGUAUGUUUUUAAUAUGCAGUAACAUUCCCAUAGAGAGUACUUCAUAGAGAUGUUAUGUUUACGGUUUUGUUAUGGCUAGGGCUCUGUGUUUUGCCCAAUGAUGUGACAUAGCAAGAUUAUAUCACGUAGCAAUUGAACAAAAAAUAUAAAUGCAACAAGUGUUGUUUCAUGAGUUGAAAUAAAAGAUUCUCAGAAAUCGUCACAAAGUU